AAGUCGUAACAAGGUUUCCGUAGGUGAACCUGCGGAAGGAUCAUUAACCGUUACAAACAGUGUGUGCUGCGGCCCCCGGAGGCGAGGCAACGAGCCUUCCGGGAGGUAUGGGGUCCGCCCCUUCACGCGCACGCGUCUGCCAUCCUUACUUUACGAGCACCUUCUGUUCUCCCUCGGCAAGCGCCGUGCGCUGCCGUUGGAACUACAAAACUCUUUUUUUGCAUCUAGCAUUACCUGUUCCGACAAAAACAAUCGUUUACAACUUUCAACAAUGGAUCUCUUGGCUCUG
rnacentral:misc_RNA from 1 species